rnacentral:rRNA from 1 species
CCGCAAUGGGCGAAAGCCUGACGGAGCAACGCCGCGUGAGGGAUGAAGGCCUCUGGGCUGUAAACCUCUUUUAUCAAGGAAGAAGAUCUGACGGUACUUGAUGAAUAAGCCACGGCUAAUUCCGUGCCAGCAGCCGCGGUAAUACGGGAGUGGCAAGCGUUAUCCGGAAUUAUUGGGCGUAAAGCGUCCGCAGGCGGCCCUACAAGUCUGCUGUUAAAAAGUGGAGCUUAACUCCAUCAUGGCAGUGGAAACUGAUGGGCUCGAGUGUGGUAGGGGCAGAGGGAAUUCCCGGUGUAGCGGUGAAAUGCGUAGAUAUCGGGAAGAACACCAGUGGCGAAGGCGCUCUGCUGGGCCAUCACUGACGCUCAUGGACGAAAGCCAGGGGAGCGAAAGGGAUUAGAUACCCCUGUAGUCCUGGCCGUAAACGAUGAACACUAGGUGUCGGGGGAAUCGACCCCUCCGGUGUCGUAGCCAAGGCGUUAAGUGUU